UGGGGUGUGGCUCAGUUGGUAGAGCGCUUGCCUUGCAAGUACAAGGCCCUGGGUUCAAUCCCCAGCACUGCAA